rnacentral:lncRNA from 1 species
GGCUUCUAAGCCUUAGCCGCCUCCGAUAAAUGCUCGAACCGCCAGCCAGUUCUUCUCUAUAUUGAAGACAUAAGGCAUAUAUACUGCCGCCCGCUUGUUGAACCGUGUCUUGCUUGAUGCAAGUUGUGUUGUCACCUGAUUACUAUGCUGCUGCAGUACCAGCAUAUCAGUAUGGUUUGUCUAAGAUGUUGCCGACUAAAUAAAAAUCUGUAUCGUUUGGCUAUGGCUCUGGUUUUGGUCCCAAGUUUCGUUUCCUUCGUCGUCGCGAUCGUGGAUGUUUGUUUUCUUGUUCGUCUGAUGAGCCUAAUGUGCUGCGUGCUGGUUGCUACUGCUCCAGUAUCUGCCGAUUCUUGGCCCACAUCGUUUUGUCGAAUCCUUAGUCGGCAGUAGGUCGCAGACAAGGACGAGUCAUCUGAGACCACACCGCUAAGGGGAAGCUUAUCUCAUGGCGCUGGCUCGACACUGUAGUUAACCAUGUGCUCCACGUUUACUGUUCCCAGAUUCCAAACGUUAAUCAUCUGUCAGCAAAACUACAGAAAGCGUAUAGUCAAUGCGAAGUCACGGGGUCAUCUACUGUGGAGCACCUAUACGUGAGGUACCUGAAAAAUGAUGCAUGUCAGUCACUUCUCUUUCUGGUCAUCAGAUCAAUAUCCAACUGUCAGGAGCACGCCGCCAUCUGUUCAUCUUCUUCCUCCUUCCCUGUGACGGUUCCUCCUCCUACCCUGUGGCCUACCUAUAGCCAUAAUUCCCUACCUGCCGCCCCCCUCCCCCAUCGCCAUGUUGGCCACCGUCCCUCUUAAGCAUCGCCCAGAUGAACACCUCCGGCAGCCCCUCUCCUGCACCCCUGGUUAAGUUUCGGACUCGCCAUUGCCGGCUCCCACUCGCACACGGCUCGGCCUUGCUGUGGCCGGUGCUCCUCAUGCUGUCCCGCCUUCAGCUUCGCGCUUUGGCAGAGAAAACUGACUGACGCCACAAAUAAGUUUAGGCACCUGAGAUUUAGCAAAACCGAAUACUCCACAGCCCAAGGGUGCAGAUGAUGAGUCUCACACUUUCACAUAGUAAGAUAGCUCCAGCAUCCAGAUGAGCACACGCAAACUUCUCUAUAAAUGCGAAGCUCCUCUACAGCAGAUGACCUCUCAAAUCAGUUUGGUCACAGCACCUCCAGUUCCUACGCAAAGUUUCGGUCCAGCUCAAGAAACAUACAUCAUCACCAGGACAAGAAACAGACAGAAGCAGCCACGGUCAAAGUGUCUAGAGACAUGCCUAAGUAAUGCGUUUGAUUGAAAAAUACUACUGAUACUACAUUUGAUUACAAGGGCGUCGUGAAAUUUUCUAUGCGAGCUAAAGGGCUAUCAGAACAUCAAUUAGGUACAGCCGAUGAUAGCACCCAUUUCAGGGACCAAUGUUACUACAAGUGAUUUCUUCUUCCAGAUCAGGCACCCACCCCGUGUACAAGGCAAGAUCGUCCUAUAUUCAGAAAUACGAGUAGGAUACAGCGUGUGGCCGGGCCAUCCUAUAUCUUCUGCUUCAACGCUUGGCGCAGCUGGACCUUGCGGCCGUCGAAUCUCGAAUCCAGAGGCUUGGACUUCAGGCUCUGCUUCUUCGCGCCCUGGGGCCAUUCGAUGCGACCUUUCAUCGCGCGCACCACGUGGGGGUUCACCAGCUCCGGGCUCCACUCGCCCACGCUCGGCGAAACCGUGCACACCUCGCUGCCCUUCAGGGUGGGCGAGAGAGCGGAGUUCGACAUUCUGCCGCUGGAGAGCAUCCCGUUCAACAACUCUGAUCCUGUUUUCUUGCGGCCAUUGUCGUUGUUUGAUGAUCUCCAGAGUCUGGCGAAAGAAGGCCCUCUCUUCCGGUACUUCUCUGCUGUGGUCGAACAUACUUCGCUGAUACCGCUGAUGGACCUGCAGUUUUCAGAAUUGUCGUCGCAGUCCGUUCCGCUCACCGAUGCGCCGUUUCCUCCACAGAAGCCGUUGACUGAUGGUUCACUCCCACCUGGUGAGUUGCUCGAGCCGUGCUCGUCGACAUGGCUGACAGUCUCCCAUCCGCUGUCAUCUUCCUCUUCAUUUCUGGCACAGGGUUGAUGGGGAUACCUCUUUGAUGGUUUUUCCAGGAAGAUGUCAGUUUCAGGACUAACUGUGUGGAUCUUUGUUGCAUGACCGAUGGGGAUAUCUCCAUUACACUGCCCAAUCUCCUUCUCGUCAGUGUCUUCCCUCUGUCUGAGCUCCUCAAAUACAGCAAAAAUGUCCUCUGACGCAGGUGGCGGUUUGUAAGAGAACUCCUUAAUAUCAUGAAACUUCAUAGAGCAAAUUGCUUCCCUUAGCCUUUCUGCAUCUCUUACCAUCUCUUUAUCUGCAGUAUUGCCUCCGUGGGAACUGAGGAAAGCCUCAACCUCAGACUGAAGGUCGCUCAGAUGUGAAUACUUGCUGUCUAGUGUCAGCUUUGCAUCAACGAGCUUCAUCUGAACCCUCUCUUCGCGCCAAACCUCCGCCAUCUGCAGCAUCUUCCUUUCUUCCUCCAGCUCAUCUCUCAUCUUCAUAGAUUCACUCUUCAGAGCCUCAACCUCAGCUUUGUCUUCCGCAAUCUCCUUUGCUAAUUCAUCACACACCUCCUCCAUAAGCUCCCUGGCCUUCCUCUCCUUUUCAUAAUCUUGCAAGUAUCGCUUUGCCACCAACUUCAACUCGGAUACCUCAGUGGCCAACUUGGAAUUCAUAAUUUCUGCCCUUUGUCGGUUCUUCCUCUCCCGGUUCAGACUCUCUUUAACACCAUCAAAGAUGUCUCGAACCUUGUCAUGCUCCCUGCUCUUCCAGGAAGCCUUUUCCUCAGAAAGGCUCCUUAACAUGUGAUCAAGCUUCUUCUUUGCAGACCGACUCUCAGCUUCAAGCUCAUGAAUCCUGUUGUGAGCCUGCAUAAGCUCUGCUCUUAGUGCAGAGAUUUCUGCAUCAGCACUCACUGGAUAACGAUCAAAGGAAUCGCAGUCAGCAUCCCUCGACGUGUUCAAGCAACGACGGUCCCACUUGGUUGCCACCUCCAUUUCGAUUCGAGGUGAUGGAGAGUAAGCUCCCACCUAAUUUAGGAUCAAAAUCAUUCUCAUUAAUAAAACAAGAUCAGAAAAGAAAAUGGUGAACUGUACUCUUAAGUAGUAAUAAUUUGUGAACAAGGAAUAUACCUCAUGAAUGCUGCCGUUGCCAAGAGGUUUUCUUCCUGACCUGCCUUCCAGGACAGCUUUGUAGUAAUUGCACCGAUCCGGCGUAUGCAGAGGCUUCGGGUUAGGCUGCAAAUUAUCUCUGUUAGCUCAUCACCAACACUUCAAAACCACAUAUUAAUACUCCCUCCGUCCCAAAAUAAGUGUCGUCACUGAUUUAGUACAAAGUUAUACUAAGUAGGUGACAGUUAUUUGGGGACAGAGGGAGUAUAUGUUACAAAAUCUACAAGUCAAAUGGAGAAAAAAAUGUUCAAAGCCACCCAUUGGAUGGUCACCAUUACAGAUAGUAACACUAACAGCAAUAUAUAGGGACCACAAGGACCCUGAUUAGAGGGUAGAUAAUAAUGGAAACAUGGAGAUGUGACAUCCCUGGGCCCGAUUAAUGGAGAUACAGCUAACACUAAGCAAUCUAGGACGGCAAUGAUCACCAAUUGGAUCAACAAAGGACAUGGACAUGCUCAAAUCUAACAUAAAACCCGACAUGAUAGUGGUACCAAAUUGAUGCGGAAACAUGGACCCUGCUAUCUCUCCCUAAAUACCAAAAUUUACCCAGCGAAGUAGAUGCACAGCUUGCUACACAUUAUGACGCAAUAAGCAACAUUUAUGCUAGAUAGUCACAUUCCACCUCCAACUAAAAAUGCUCAGCGGCAAAAUGGUCCCUUCGUCCGUCGAAUCGGCGACGCGGUGUGCCGAGACAGUAACAUUGUGACAAAAUUCGCAGCCAUGGCACCCGAUUCCCUUCGCCCAUCGGAUGCGGGGACACCUAGCUUUCAGAACAAUCAGCUCAAAACUUGUAGAAAAAGGGUGACAGAGCACCAAACGACCAAAAUUCUAACUAGUUCGUCGCUGGUUGCAUUCCACCAGAGGACGGCCACAACGAAACCCUAGAACGCCACAGCAGCACAGACGCACGCAGCCACGGGGAAAGAAGAUCCACGCUGAUCUGGGAGACAAACCCCUACCUCGGGCCGUCGCCGCGGUUCCUCGGGCACCGGGUGGACCCGCCAGAGCGCCGCGGCGAUCUUCCUCACGGAGGCGGCCCCCGCGCCGACACGCGCGGCGGCGUCCCCGGGCCAGCGGAGCGGCGGGGUGGCGGGCGGCGCGGCCGCCACGCGGCGCGCGGACGCCGCCAGGGAGGGGCUCUGCACGCGCAGCCGGCGGCGGGGGCGGGGGCGAGAGGCGGGCCCCGGGGAAGCCGCAGCGACCGCGGCCGGCUCCCUCGAUCUGGGCGGCGGGGACUUGGCCUGCGGCGUGCGGGGCCGGCGGGAGCGCGCCAUUGGCCGCGGGCUCGCUCGCUCGCUCAGUGGGCGUCGGCGGCGGGCGGGGGCGGUGGCAUUCACCGGUGGAGGGAGGGAGGCGGAUGCGCGUGCGGGUCUGCGGGCGAGAUCCAGUACUGCUGGUGCCACGGCAGGGGACGCCGUGGUGUGUGUGUGCCCAGUGGUGGUUUUGAUACGACUGGCGGUAGUGCUACGAGUAGUACUAGUAGUAGUAGUAGGGGUAGCUGCGUAGGCUCGUGAUGGAGGCUGGAGAACGUGGGAUGAGGGAAAAGGGAAGGGGAAAGGGAGAUGGAUGGAAUGGAAUGGAAGGAUUUGUUUUGCUUUUGUUUCUCUUCUCUCGUGGAUUUGGUAGUAAUUUGGGAUUUGGAAUUUGUGGCUUGUGAUGGUGAAAUGUUUUUGGGUUGAGUCAAAAAUGGUCUAAGUUGAGCUGUUUGGAUAAAAGACACAAUAGUGAUUUAGGGCUUAUGGGAUAUCCACAGUGAGUUGUGUUUGUGAGAGUAUAUACCUCAAAGUUUUAGAACAAAAAUUUAGUAGCAAUAUCACUUGCUAAAAUUUGAAUGAAUAUGACUUUUCGUGUGCUAAGAAAAAGAAUGGAAAUGGGCGAGGGAUUAUGGUAGCGAGUACACAUACAAAAAUAUUCGCAAAACAAAAACUAUGCAUAUUAAAUUUGACCUCAUGCAGUUCACAAAUUUUGCUACGACUUUUCACAAUGUACCAUAUGGUAUUUUGACUUCAUGGAGGUGUGCGCCCAACUAAUUGAAUUUUUUCGCAUUUGCUAAUCAUCAAGUCCCCUUUUCGGCUUAGCGUGAGCCCGAAACGGGGGCAGCAUGAGCAUCACCAGGGACGGCGAGGCCGAGCGGCAACCGACGAUAGCUGACAGGAGUGAGUCCAAAACUUGACGGGUGCAGGUUGAUGAGAAGGGAUGGGGUGGUCACCGGAGUUGUCGUGGGUCGAAGGGCUUAGAGGGAUGGUCAAGGUGGUGGCCAACACAACAGUGGGGGGAGGUCAAGGCGAGAGAGGACUAGGCGCGACAGCGCCCGCGGGCCGGGAGGCGGAGGAAAGUAGUUAAGGGUAGGUAGGUCGCGGGGGUGAAGGACGAACCGUCACGCGCAGAGGAAGAAGAACAGUGCACGCACAUUCGGCGUUGGAUGUUGAUCGGACGGACGAGAGAAAAGUGACUGCUCAAAAGAAAAAUCAAGUACCUCAUAAACACGCGCUCCCCAUUCUUCUCCUUCGUCGGUGUGCGUGCAAAAAUCUGAAAACUAGUUUUCCUGUGAGAACACAGACAGUGAAUUUUCCGACUCAAGUUAAUUUUAGUUUGGUUAUUAUAAAGGGACGCGGUUUAAUAACACAAAACGGGGAACCAAAAGUGGACAGUUUCAAUGAGAACGCCGCCGUACAUGCCCCGUGGACCACAUCACGCUAUGAGGAUGUCGCUGGAAAAGAUAGUUCGAGUGGUGGCCGGCGAAGACCCAUGGAUCCAAAAGGAGGAGCAGGGUCGUGGUUCAACGAGAAUCUCCGUGCACCACCCACGCCGGAGACGUUGAUGAUGGCCGGCGAGGACCUGGUAGGGAGAGUGUGGGGCAGGCAGUGCUAAUCCUCGAGAGAUGGAGAGAACGCCAUGCGCCUCCUACACGUUAAUUAGACCAACACGAGUGACCGACACUUUAAAUUCCAGCGUGCCAUCGUCGGUAAAUCCAUUUUUAGAUGCACAGCGUUGGUAAAUCAAUUAAUUUGGGUAUAGUACUUACUUCGAUGUAAAUUAAUUGCAAAUAGAGGCCAUGUCAAUUAAUUCGGCUGGGAGGUAGUACUUUUUCUGCCUGCGAAAGGCCUGAUAUGGACUGGCAUAUGAAAUUAGCUCAAGCCGAAAGGGGAUUUUUUUUUGCAUGGUAAUACGUGUAUCAUUCAUAUCAUAAAGAAUAAAGUACAAGUCACGUAAAGACCGACAUGACAAAACUGAAAAGAUAGCAGAACAUCUCUGAGCUUAACACCAACGUCCGUCACCUGCCUCCAGCACCACCACAACAGCCACCGAAGAAAAGAAUGACGAAUCACCUCCUCGCCCGAGCUCGACGCGGCUCCAUCGCUGAUAUGCAGUUUUGCGGACCUCCAAGGUGGCUCGUCAAAGGGGGUUAUUUGGUUAUGGGCACAUGAAUGGCACGAUGGUGCAUGUACACGUGGUGGUACAAUACAGCCAUGAACGGACUCGUUCCAUGAAUCUGCGUGGUCCUCCGUAUCUUGCAGCAACUGCAGAGGCAUCCGUCCUACUACUACUGUACUCUACAAAGACUUGAAGGGAGUACGUAUGUACAGUAGCUGGCAUGUACCAAUCGGUCAUAAAAGUCAAUUUAGGGCGUGUUCAGUUCAGUAGGUGCUGUACUGGAUCGGUGCCCCUCUAGUGAGCAUUGCAGCCACCCACUAAUCCAUAACUACUACUCCCUCGGUUCCUUUUUAUAGGACGUUUUAGACACCUGAUUUUGAACUGUCCUGACAGCUCUCUGAACUAUGUAAAACGUCUUAUAGUAAAAGUGAACAGAGAAAGUGCCUGUUUCAGCAAUUUUUUGAUGCAUGCCCUACAAGAGAGACAGCCUCCAACUUUUGAAUGCCUCUCGCAUGGUACGGUCGCAGAGCAUAACACCAACCAACGUACCCAACGUACCACUACAAGAUAUAAGCACGUACCACCCGUAAAACCUAACAACGUGGAACAUGGCCUCCACUCUCCCUCGAUCCAUCGGCAUCGGGCCAAGAAAACCCGGAUACGAUGCUCCCAUGCAUAUCAACCUCCGAAUCAUAACCAGACCGACGUGCGGAGCACCUAGGCUACGCCGCCGGUCACGGAGUUCGCGCCAGCAUGGCCUGCCUCUUUCUAGGCCUUUAAUUGGAGGGAGUGCUCACAUGAAACUUUGCAUAAAUGCUGAGGCAUGCCUACGGCCAUACUACUGCAAAGGAGAGGAGUCUACCAACCAAUGCAAAAUAAGCAUAUCUUGGAGAUUUUGUCAUGUCUUUGCGUCUCAAAGUCUUGCCAUGUUUGUAAGUCUUGCAAUGUUCUCGGAAGAUUAUGAUGUUACAUUCUACCAACCGAUUAGUAGACCAACUGGCUACUUCAUUAGGCUGAUUGAAACUAGUUUAGCAUCUCGUUGCUUACGUGUUUACGGUAAAUAAUUGUGAUGGUGCUGUCUUUCCUCGCUCGAUCGAGAGAUGAUUUAAAUAAGUCACCGCUAAGGACCAUAUGGGCUAUACAAAAGAUUCGUGUAUAAGUAUGAAAUAGGCAAUAAACUUGUGUCAGCCAGUUAUCAAUGUGGAUUCGGAAAUUCCCAAUAUUUAUUUUUAAAUCGACCUAGUUAUAGACACGCAAAAGACCAUCCAUUUCCUGCGAGAAUAAAGAGGGUUCCAAAACGUGUAUCGUAGGUGACACAAGUCUUGAUUUAUGAAAGCAACGAUAUAAGGGAAAAUACCCAAUGAAAUAAUUGAAGUUGUAAAUUUAUUCUAAGUUAGACUUGCUUAUGUUUGAGCGACCCCAUAGUGAAAAGUAUUGAGAUCUACAACAUCAAAUACACAUUGUACGAAAGUAUAUUUCAUAGGAAAUUUCAUGAGAUUAAUUUGGUGUGUUUAGAUGUUACUAAUAUUUUUUAUAGACUUGAUCAAACAUAUAUAGACAUAAAUUAAUUAAUUUUUUACCCGCAAAAAAAAUUAAUUAAUUUGAAACGAACCCGUCCCAACUCAAAUCAAAAUCAAAUACAAAAAGAAACAAACCUGUCACUUGAAUUAUUUUGGACUGUAGGUAGUACCUGCGCUGACGAAUGGUUACGCUUCCGCCCGUGCAACAUUAUCGUGGGUGACGAAAUUGAUGGCCACCUCGUGUCCACUCUCCCGUGGAGAGCUGCUGCGAGUCUCGAUUGAACGAGGUUCCAGUUUUCUCGUUGAUGCCUUAAAAAUGGUGGCAAGUACUCCACCGCACGCAUGCAUGCAUGCAUGCACCUUCUCCGGGCGGCAUGGCGCGGCGUGGCACGUACGGCGGUGUCGUCCGGGUCCGCGGAGUGGGGGCGGCGUUUCCUCGCCGAACCUGUCCGCCCGUCGUCGUCACUUGAUUGGCUUGGCCGCUUAUGCGUGCGCGCCUAGCGACCCAUCCAUGAUUUUUUUUAGGGUGCGACCCAUCCAUGAUUUUUUUUUUUUGAGGAUCCGACCCAUCCAUGAUUAUCCGGUCAAGAUCGGGCUCUGGAGAAUUUGUGCAAACCUCGAAAUUUCCAAUCACAAAUUCGUCGGCCAGCGGUAGGCAGGAACCUGAAAAAGACAACCGCAUUUUCGUUCCUCGGUGUCGGGACCGGUUUCGUGUGACCGAAAUUUUGCACUCCCGCCGUCCAGGUGCACAGCACAGGGCAUCUAAUGAAAAUUUCGUGUUAUUUCAAAAUAUAUACAAGUCACAAUGCGUGGAAGGUUCUCCUCGUGACACUUCUGUACGGUAUGUCAUUUUGGUGCAGUACGGAGGGAGUGCAAGGUUCGCAUGACACUUGUGUUACAGUAUGCCAUUUUGGUUCUCCACUGGGCACUCUCGUUUGAAAUUAGCAUCCUGCGUCUUCGCACCACCCUGAACUCUCUGUACCACAUCAGAUGAUUUGGGUAGUUGUACUAGCACUCUGUUUUAGGUACGUUAUGUCACUUUGAAGGCGGAUAAUUAUGCUUCCGGCACCGUGCAUGAAGUUGCACUCCUUUUGUGCAGCUAAUCAAAUCGUUUGAAGAAAGCGUGGGGCUUAAUAAUGUGUGCACGAGGAGAACUGGGCGUAGCUCAGUUGGCAAGGCGCGCGAGUUCGCAGCCAACCCAUCAGGAUUCAAGUCUCGGCUUGAGCGUUUGGUGCUCACGGAGUUUUCUUUUAUAAAAAAUGCCAACGGGCUAGUCUAGCCCGGGUUGGUCUUGUUUUUUUUUAUAAUGUGUGCACGAGGGAAGCUACUAAGAGCAUCUACAGUAGGGCGCCUCAAACCCGCCUUAUACGUCCGGACGGGCCAUCCGGUCACUGUCUGGGCGCCUCAAAUGGGCCUCAAACGCCUGGAUUGACUGGCACCCCUCGUAUCCAGCCCAAAUAUGGGGCGCCCGAGACGCCCGUCACGUCGGACCCGGCCCACGCUGGCCCACCCGACCCCACAUAUAUUCCUCCCCAUCCGCUCGCCGGACCAAAUUCUAGCCACUUCACUCGCCACCCGAGCUUGUCUCCGGCGCCUUCCGGCCACUCCGGCAUGACGGGCAGCGAAUCCGAGUCCUUCAUCUCCAGAUCCGUCGACCCUGAGCUCAUCCCCCGCGGCUCCGAGGAGGAGAUGGUCGUCCAGCUUGUGCUCCGCCGCGCCCGGGAGGAGGCCCGUGCACGGCAGCGCUCGGACUCCUUCCGUCGAAAAUCCAUUGCGUCCGCCCAAAUGAUGCAUGGAUCUGGUGCUAGGCCAGCCAUAGCUGCCUCGCCGGAGGCGGUGCGGUCCGUCUAGCGUCCAAACGCGGUGGCGAAUACGCAACCCCUUCAUUGGCGCGCCGAGCAUCGGACACACCAUGGGCCUCGUCUGACGAGAACAUGGCACGUCGUGCCCCGUUGUGCUAGACACCGAGCGUGGGAGGCGGCGGCAGCCCUCGAGCUCGCGGCGGUGGACGUCGGCGAGGUGGAGUCGCAUUCUCCGGCCCCUUGUAUGGCGCAUCAGUCCAGGCGCCGCAACCGCAUCGUGGUGGACGUCGCCGGCUUGUCCCAGGACGGAUCCGUCAUUGAUCAGACACCCACAUGCACCGUUCGGGUUACAGGCUCCGACGAGAAAAAGUAGGGUAUGGAGACGGCGGCGCCUUGAGUCCCGUGAGCCGGCUCGUUUCCCAUGCCCUAUUCUAUCUUGCCGGCGACCAGACCAACACUCUGAGGGGCGCAACCGGCCACCGGACAUGGCCAUGGAGCCGCGCGAGCGGGGAGCGAAACCGGACGAAACUCCGCUAAAAAAUUGUUGCGUUGCAUGUAAUAGUAUGGAUUUGAGGUUUCUAAUUUAAGGUAUCCGAUGGGGAAUGCAUUUUUUAAGGCGUGAUCGGUCACUGUUCGCGAACGCACGUCCGCGGGGCGUUUGAGGGGUCGGAUUUGCUAAGUCCGCCUUAGAUGCUCUAAGAGCAACUGGUCUUCAAGGAUGAUGCAUUGCUCUCUUUAGCCCGUUCAUAAAUAAUAUGGUUGAGCCGCAUGCAAGUUGGGAGAUUAACAAGCGGAAAGGGGAGCACGCAAUCAUACCUGCCCACCCGCCUUAAUCUCUAGCCCGAUCUCAAAAAGGUCCAGGAAACCCACGCCACAAUAAGAAACGUUUCCCUUCCGCCGUUCGCAGGCUCCCUCGCACGGCGUGGUCAAGGCCACCAUCACGCAGCCAUGUGGUGCCACGGCAUCGAUGAUUGAUUGUAGUAGGAGUAUCCGCAAUAAUUCGCCGGUUAGGCAAAUGCAACAUGAUCCUCUCGCCGAAGAUGAGUGGAGUGCUUCUGCAAGUGUGCAGAGAGUUUUCGGUGAGCCUCUGCGGUGCGGUGUAGUUAAAGCCGCGAGAGUUCAAACAUUGUGAUCUGGGCUCACGCAGUGCAUGUUCUGGAGCGCUCCCUCUCACCCUUGGCUUCGAACAGAGUGUGAGAUGCUCUGCGGCGAGCCUCUGCGUGCAGUAAAACUUCUCUUGGUUGGAGUGAAAAUGCGAGUUCAAACAUGGUGAUCCGGGCUGAAGCAGUGCAUAUUCUGGAGCUCUCCCUCUCACACUUGGCUUCGAACAGAGUGAGAUGCUCUGCGGCGCUCUUCUGGGAUCGGGCGACGAUUAAUGGCGCCACGCAUGGGGAUCAGAGAGCGCGGGUUUUGAGAAGCUCGAACCAUCUUUUCUCGAGCCGGAAGCAUCGAUGGGCGGCCGAGUCCACCGGGGCGCGCGCGAGAUCGCGGAUGUUUUGGAUCGACCCGACGGCCAACGAGCGCACGGGCGCUGGAGACCUUAAUUAGUCAACGGAUUAGUGGGCAGUUAAGUAUGGCGGCAUGUCUGCAUGCGCAUGUGUUGUUUUGACCUCCGUUUGCGUGGCUAGCUCCAGGAGAUGUUAAUUGCGGAUGAGAUUAGAUAAUACGGAGCGGCUGAUGGAGUUAAUGCGGGAUUCAGGCCACUUGAUUGUUUAUCUGAGUGGCAUUUUCCAUUUUACAUCUGUGGCAAGGUUCAAACUGCCCACUGGUUGUUCCGUACUGCCACUGGCCGUCGACGCUGUUAAUGGCAUGCCGUAACCUCGUGAUCCAUGCACGAAUUCUGACGUUGCAUUUGAAUCGGCGUUUCCAUGCUCAUUCAGAGAGAUUUAUCGGCGUUGCCGUCGUGGUUGAUCCUGGCCGUCGUUACUGUCAGUCAUGCCGUACCACCCUGGCCGACUCACUAGCUGCUUCAUUCUGUAAUCUUCAGAUACACUACACGUAGCACUUCUUUCCUCACACACUGGGAAAAAGGAAAUCUUCAGGCACUUCGUCCUUCAGAGAAACUAGAUGCCUGGAUGGAACCACGAUCUCUGACAGUGCGUUCAAAUCGGCGUAUCCAUCCCCGUUAACAUUAUGGGACGGAGGGAGCACUUACAUUGCCCUGCUACUGGCUGGGCUGCAGCACAUGGCUACGUUGAUCAGAAAUCACUUGCAGUGUUGCGAUCUGACAUGCUACUAGCUCAUUCAGAGAAACGCCAAGCAUUGCAUUUAAACCGGCGUUUCCAUCUCCAUCCAUUGAUACCUGUCUGCCUCUGUCUGGUACUCUGGUGGUGGUUUGGCACGGGCAAAACGGUAGGCGCUCCAUCAUGGCUGCUCAGGCCUGAUUAGUGCGUACGAAAUUGUAGAAUCUAUACAUUGCAUUUUUCGUUACUGGCUGGGCUGCAAGAACACAUGACUAUGUUGAUCAGAGAUCACUUGCACUGUUGCAAUCUGACGCCCGGGCUGUUGUUUAUUUUUCCUCUUUGGGUGCUCAGUCCAGAUACCAGUAGCUGGUUAUUUUUCCAUGUCUGUUACGACGUCAACCAACUCUAUUUUUAUUUUACUCUUCACAGGGGCUGUUGUUUAUUCCAGGGGGAACCACCAGAGUAGUAAUUAAAACCCCUGCACUUUUUGCUUAGUUAAGCGUAACAGUGUCUGAUGUCCCAGGCAGUGAUUACUGCUCCGAUUCAUUAGCAGCAUCGGUACUGACAGGCACUCGCUCUUAUGGCUGUGCGUUCAAGUUUGAAAUUUGAAUUUCAAAGGAUAUGAGUGUGCGGGUUGGCAACAAGAUAAAGAAAGAUCACGCAGGUUCUUUAUUGCUGCUGGUCUACUGAAUGGUAUUGCAAAGAAUUGUAGGUUCGGCACUUGAUGGAAGCAGAUCUUCGGAUCCAAUGCCGGUACGGGUAUCUCUCAAUGAAAACUGCAUCAGGCCAAGAUUGUUGUUGUUAGGUAAUACAUGCAAAUCCCGUAUAGGGCGUACUACAGGGAUGAACUAGCCAGCCUACUACGUACUUCCUCCGUCCCAUAAUUACGUUAGUGUCAAAAACACUCUUAUACUAUGGGACAAAAACGCUCUUAUAUUAUGGGAGGAGAGAGUACAACCUAGUGCUAACCAUCGCCAUGGCAACUUUGAAAUUCUUUUUUUAUUUUGUAUUUUGGUGGUAUCUCUCAUGGAACAACAGCUUUUCAUUUCCGAAAUAAAGUAAUGAUUACAUAAAAAUUACUCUUUAAUAAACAAUAAACAACUGAUGUUCAUCCCAUCCAACAAUCAGAGAAUACAAGGGUUAUGCAUAUGAGUAAAGUAAAUCAAUUUGGUGCAAUUCAUAACAAAAGAACCAUCUAGCCUUGUAAGCAACUCUAGUGCUCUCGUGUAAAGACUUUUAUUUAUUUUCUCAGCACGUUUGCUACAACUGUUUUUGUGGAGUUUAGUUUUGUGUCCCGGUGAUAUUGAUCUUUAGGAUCUAUUGAAUUUUUGUCAUUGUGUUUUGCUGCUUUUCUUAUUUUCUUGGGUGUGAAUCUGGAAUCUUUCUUGGGCACAUGGUGAAGAUCUUGUGGUUCAACAUCCCACACUUUUAGGAGAUCAUCCCUGACCUAAGUUCGUUUAUUACUCAUGGCUCUCUAAGCUUUUUAUAGGUAAUCAACUUUAUAUUCCAAUUCUUAAUUUUAAGAGUUACUCUUGGAGAUCCAAAAUGAUGAUUCUCGUGUUUGAAUAAAAUUACCGGCGUUCUCACAAAAGAAAAAGGAAAUUCUCUUUUUAACGCAACAACUAAAAGUGUAUAUGAAUUUCCCAUGUUAUUUGUGAAUACUUUAAACGCGUCAGUAUUUUUAGCAUUUCAUAUUGGUAGUCUUUCUCAUAUGAGUUCUUUUGAGCUCAACAUGCAGCAGCAGUGACCGUUGGAUUAACAUUCAACGGCUGCGCUGCUUCUUUAAUAUCUGAUCUUCUUGCUCCAGCCGCCGAAAUCAGCGCCGGCGGGACUGUCUGCUCCUGCCUCCCGUAGCCGGAUGUGCUGUCAUCGCUGGCCAUGCCAUCCCUCUACUCACUCACACCUCCUGUUAUUCUCCGGCAACGGUAGCCUCACACCGCAGCCGGAUCAGUCAACCCUCGUACUCCCCUCCGCGUGGGCAUCCACCUGCAUCGUCUUCCCUAGCUCCGCGUCGUUCCCUUCCUAGGCCUCGCCGUCAUCCACCGUCUUGAUGCUCUCGGCGCGGCGUGGUCAACGAGGUCAACGAACGACAACCAUCGGAAGAGGACUUUAGGCGGUGAGGCUGAAAGCUGGACCCACCAGCUACAUCUUGGAACGCAAGGAAGUGUCUCCUUAUUACUCGCAAAAUAAAAAUGAUUCCUCCCCUGAUAGCUAGGACCCAGUAGCUAUAUCUUCGCACGCAAGGAAGUGCGUCCUUAUGCCCCCUGACAACUGGGACCCACCAGGUCGAAGCAUACGUAGCGUUGUCUGUCUGGUCACAAACGUGUACGUACAUACUGGUGUAUCGGUCUCUUUGCAAUGAUGAACCGUGGCCGAGUAAGUAGCGGCACGUGUUAUAGUAGAGCCCCCGACGCAGCAGUUCAGGCAGUCCCGUCUAAACCGUGUACACGUACGUACAACCACGUGCCAAAAAAUACGACCACAUACAUACAUACGGGUGGGGUCUCAAACGCGUACUCGCGCAUACGUACGGCCAAGGCUCGUGUACAUGGAGAGGCAAUGGACGACAGCAACAGCAUCCUGUUCAUCGGGGGCCAACCGGCUUGGACGCAACAGCCGCAACAGGGCAUGGCGUACCGUAGAACAGAGAAAACAACCUUCUGUUCGACCGCCUACGGUCGAAACGGGAUCUUGUUCAUCGAGAAGGGUUUGGCGUACCGCAAAACAGAGGAAACAGACUUUUGUUCUAGCGCGUACGGUCGAAAGGGGUCUUGUUGAUCGGGAGGGGUGUGGCAUAUCGCAAAACGGAGGAAACAAACUUCUGUUCGAGCGCCUACGGUCGAAACAGGGUCCUGUUCAUCGGGAGGGGUGUGGCGUACCGCAAAAAGGGACUCCACGGGCUACUGUUCAUCCACCGUUUACUGCCUCUCGCUCCAGCCUCCACGGGGUACUCUUUAUCCACCAUCGUCCUCCAGGCCCCACCGGCUACUGUUCAUAAAGCCUACAUGUGGUCCUGUUCAUCCACCCCCAACCGGCUGGGGUGUGGCUGCCUCCUCGGGGUCUCGUUCAUCCAGUGGUAGCCGCCUACUACCACGAGGUUGUUGGGGAACGUAGUAAUAAUUCAAAAAUUUCCUACGUGUCACCAAGAUCAAUCUAGGAGAUGCUAGCAACGAGAGAGAGGGAGUGCAUCUUCAUACCCUUGAAGAUCGCUAAGCGGAAGCGUUACAAGAACGCGGUUGAUGGAGUCGUACUCGCGACGAUUCAAAUCGCGGAAGAUCCGAUCUAGCGCCGAACGGACGGCGCCUCCGCGUUCACCACACGUACAGCCCGGGGACGUCUCCUCCUUCUUGAUCCAGCAAGGGGAGAGGAGAAGUUGAGGGAGAACUCCGGCAGCACGACGGCAUGGUGGCAAUGGAGCUCGUGGUUCUCCGGCAGAGCUUCGCUAAGCACUACGGAGGAGGAGGAGGAGUUGGAGGAGGAGAGGGCUGCGCCAGGCAAGGGGUGCGGCUGCCCUCCCUCUCCCUCACUAUAUAUAGGGGGAAGGGGGGUGGAGGAGGCGCCCUAGGGUUCCCUAGGGGAGGGGCGGCGGCCACAGGGGAAACCCUAGAUGUGUUUGGGCGCCCCCACCCCUGGGAAACUUGCCCCCCAAGCCGGGAGGGGUGGCUGCCCUAGGGGAGGCGCCCCCACCUCUCCACGUUACGUGAGAGGGGUUGGGAGGGGCGCACAGCCCCUUAGUGGGCUGGUGUGCCCCCUCCCCUUGGCCCAUAAGGCCCCCCAACGCUUGCCGGGGCCUCCGAAACACCUUUCGGUCACGCUGGUCGUCACCCGGUACUCCCAGAACAAUUCCGGACUCCAAUACCCUUCGUCCAAUAUAUCGAUCUUCACCUCCGGACCACUCCGGAGUUCCUCGUCACGUCCGGGAUCUCAUCCGGGACUCCGAACAACCUUCGGUAACCACAUACUAUUUCCCAUAACAACUCUAGCGUCACCGAACCUUAAGUGUGUAGACCCUACGGGUUCGGGAACCAUGCAGACAUGACCGAGACACCUCUCCGGCCAAUAACCAAUAGCGGGAUCUGGAUACCCAUAUUGGCUCCCACAUGUGUCACGCCCAAUAUGCGACCCUAUCCGCGAGGAUGUAACGCCCGGAUAAUCAAGCUACAGUAAUCCCACGCUAAUGGUGCCACGUCACCACGAUUACUUUGCUAAUCUACCGUUAGGUCAAACCGUUUAAAAAUUCAAAUUCAAAUUAAUGUCAACGAUAAAAGUUUUUCAAAAUUUAAAACAAAAAUGUUCGGGAGGUGCCAUAUUUUGCAUAAGUAAAUAUGGUGUAGUAAACACAUUUUUAUAAAAUGCCUAAAUAAUAUAAAUUGAAAUAAAACAGAAAAAAAAA